rnacentral:rRNA from 1 species
AUACGGAGGAUGCAAGCGUUAUCCGGAUUUAUUGGGUUUAAAGGGUGCGUAGGCGGUUUGCUAAGCGGGAGGUGAAAUGCCGGCGCUCAACGUCGGAAGUGCCUCCCGAACUGGUGGACUGGAAUGACUCUGCCGUGGGAGGAAUGUGUAGUGUAGCGGUGAAAUGCUUAGAGAUUACACAGAACACCGAUUGCGAAGGCAUCUCACGAAGGGUUGAUUGACGCUGAGGCACGAAAGCGUGGGGAUCAAACAGGAUUAGAUACCCUGGUAGUCCACGCAGUAAACGAUGAUGGCUAACCGCUGGAUCCAUCGGUUCAGUGGCCAAGCGAAAGCGAUAAGCCAUCCACCUGGGGAGUACGACCGCAAGGUUGAAACUCAAAGGAAUUGACGGGG